rnacentral:rRNA from 1 species
AUACAGAGGAUCCGAGCGUUAUCCGGAUUUAUUGGGUUUAAAGGGAGCGUAGGUGGACAGUUAAGUCAGUUGUGAAAGUUUGCGGCUCAACCGUAAAAUUGCAGUUGAUACUGGCUGUCUUGAGUACAGUAGAGGUGGGCGGAAUUCGUGGUGUAGCGGUGAAAUGCUUAGAUAUCACGAAGAACUCCGAUUGCGAAGGCAGCUCACUGGACUGCAACUGACACUGAUGCUCGAAAGUGUGGGUAUCAACCAGGAUUAGAUACCCUGGUAGUCCACACAGUAAACGAUGAAUACUCGCUGUUUGCGAUAUACAGUAAGCGGCCAAGCGAAAGCAUUAAGUAUUCCACCUGGGGAGUACGCCGGCAACGGUGAAACUCAAAGGAAUUGACGGGG